UGGGGAAUAUUGCACAAUGGGCGCAAGCCUGAUGCAGCGACGCCGCGUGGGGGAUGAAGGUCUUCGGAUUGUAAACCCCUUUCGGGAGGGAAGAUGGAAUGGGGUAACCCAUUCGGACGGUACCUCCAGAAGCAGCCACGGCUAACUUCGUGCCAGCAGCCGCGGUAAUACGAAGGUGGCAAGCGUUGUUCGGAUUUACUGGGCGUACAGGGAGCGUAGGCGGUUGGGUAAGCCCUCCGUGAAAUCUCCGGGCCUAACCCGGAAAGUGCGGAGGGGACUGCUCGGCUAGAGGAUGGGAGAGGAGCGCGGAAUUCCCGGUGUAGCGGUGAAAUGCGUAGAGAUCGGGAGGAAGGCCGGUGGCGAAGGCGGCGCUCUGGAACAUAUCUGACGCUGAGGCUCGAAAGCGUGGGGAGCAAACAGGAUUAGAUACCCCAGUAGUCCCUGAGCGGGCUGGCAAGGCGCAU
rnacentral:rRNA from 1 species